rnacentral:rRNA from 1 species
CCUACGGGAGGCAGCAGUGAGGAAUAUUGGUCAAUGGCCGGAAGGCUGAACCAGCCAAGCCGCGUGAGGGAGGAAGGCGCAGAGCGUCGCAGACCUCUUUUGUCGGGGGACAAAAGGCCGGACUCGUCCGGUUUUGAGUGUACCCGGAGAAAAAGCAUCGGCUAACUCCGUGCCAGCAGCCGCGGUAAUACGGAGGAUGCGAGCGUUAUCCGGAUUUAUUGGGGGGAAAGGGAACGCAGGCGGUCUUUUAAGUCGGAGGUGAAAGCCUUCGGCUUAACCGGAGUAGUGCAGUGGAAACUGGGAGACUUGAGUGCGUAAGAGGAGGGUGGAACUCGAUGUGUAGCGGUGAAAUGCGUAGAUAUAUGGAAGAACACCGAUGGCGAAAGCAGCUCGCUGAGCUAUAACUGACGCUGAGGUUCGAAAGCGUGGGUAGCAAACAGGAUUAGAUACCCGUGUAGUC